UACGAAGGGGGGCUAGCGUUGUUCGGAAUCACUGGGCGUAAAGCGCACGUAGGCGGACUUUCAAGUCAGGGGUGAAAUCCCGGGGCUCAACCUCGGAAUUGCCUUUGAUACUGUAGGUCUCGAGUCCGGAAGAGGUGGGUGGAAUUCCUAGUGUAGAGGUGAAAUUCGUAGAUAUUAGGAAGAACACCGGUGGCGAAGGCGGCCCACUGGUCCGGUACUGACGCUGAGGUGCGAAAGCG
rnacentral:rRNA from 1 species